UCCCGGGCCGGGCCGCGGCCCCCUGUGGAGCAGCCGCCAGGGUUACCUUGCGCUUUAUUUACAUGGCACAGAGGACACGGAAAAGUUGAAGAUCACUCUUUGAUUAUGGUUAUGAAGUUUAUCAUACAAGUACAGAAAAACACAAAAACAUGAAGGAGCCAUUCAAACUAAGAUCCAUGAAAGGAUUAUUUUCAGCAACCAUUAAAGCACCAAUAAGGGAAUGAUGAAUGAGAUGCCUGCCUUUGGGAGAAAUAGUUGGUGCAACGAAGAAAUAUGAAGAGGGAGAGAGAGAAGGGAAAAAAAAAGACUAAUUUCCGAGGUGAGGUAUGCAAUGAGAUUCCUAAAUGAGUUCUAGGAUCUAAGAUUACAACUUCUGCACCUCAGCCUUGGCAACUUCCUAGAACCCGUGAAGUCAUGAAAAACAUCUUUCUGCCUGCAUGGCACAGAGAACUAAAUCAUCAACUUCUGCUUCUUUUAUAAUCCAAAGCUGACAAACUCUAAACUUGAUGUGGAAAUCAAGACAGCAAUUUGCUCCUACAACAUUGGAACAUAAGACUGAAACUUGAAAACAUGAUCACCUCUAAUAAAAUGUGUACCACAGAACAAAGAACAGAGCAGGUAAUCAAGAUGGCUGGAUGGACAGAAGGA